rnacentral:rRNA from 1 species
AUUGAACGCUGGCGGCAGGCCUAACACAUGCAAGUCGAGCGGAGCGGCGGACGGGUGCGUAAUGCUUAUGAAUCUGCCUGGUAGUGGGGGAUAACGUCCGGAAAUGGGCGCUAAUACCGCAUACUAUCAGAUGAGCCUAGGUCGGAUUAGCUAGUGUUGGGGGGAAAGGCCUACCAAGGCGACGAUCCGUAACUGGUCUGAGAGGAUGAUCAGUCACACUGGAACUGAGACACGGUCCAGACUCCUACGGGAGGCAGCAGUGGGGAAUAUUGGACAAUGGGCGAAAGCCUGAUCCAGCCAUGCCGCGUGUGUGAAGAAGGUCUUCGGAUUGUAAAGCACUUUAAGUUGGGAGGCGUUACCAACAGAAUAAGCACCGGCUAACUUCGUGCCAGCAGCCGCGGUAAUUC